UACGUCAAGUAGUUUGCUUGCCGUAGUUUACAAAUGCCCUUGCUAUUGACGGCUUGUAAGCCUAAAAAACUUGGACGUCGGCUUGCACGCACAUCGGCAACGUGCUUAAAACUACCAUAGGGUAACGGUGCAGUAGGGUCCCUGCGCAAGCCCAACUUCCGUUUAAGGGGGCUUGCAAAAAAAUGAUCGCAUGGAAUAGGAAAGGGGCUGUUAGUGGCCGAGUGGGUGAGGGGGCUCAUAGGGGAGUGGAAUAGUAAGGCCGCUAAUGUCGCCGCUCCGGAAAGCCGCCAACCUCGUCGCCGCACGCCCCGUGCUCACGACGCCCUCCCGCGGCAUACGCCCGUGGUGCAACACUUGGACGCCCUCCUCCGCCGCCGCUCCUACCGGGCGCCCUCCUCCGCCGCUCCAACGCUGGGCGCCCCUCCCCCGUUGCCGCUCACGCCGACGCUCCUACGCCGGGCGCCCUCCUCCGCCGCUCCAACGCUGGGCGCCCCUCCCCCGUUGCCGCUCACGCCGACGCUCCUACGCCGGGCGCCCUCCUCCGCCGCUCCAUCGCACCGCGAGGGCCAGCGCGGCCGGUGGGUGUAGGACCGCGAACGGUCAGCGGCUGUCGCGGCAGCCGCUCCUGGGCAAGCGCCGUAGCGAACGGCCCAGCGCGCUCAUGCCGCCGCUCCUACGCUCUCCCGACGUAGGCCGCCGAUGCAUCGGACAUCGAUACCUCCGACUGCGCCCUGUACUCCCUCCCUCACCGAUCACUACCCCCGCUCCCUACCGCGGCGGUGCCGGUCGUACAGGUGCCCUGCGGCCCCAGGACGCUCCACCUGAGGCGGUUCUGGCCGCCGUUCCCGAGGGCGCCACGUGACUCGUCAAGCCAUUUACCCUCCGUGAGCCCUGCGUGUUAGACAGUUUUGUACGUCCACUGCUACUGUAGAUGUGACGUAACGAAAGCAACUACCAUGACCAAGUCUAGCUGACCAACCAUCUAGAAGUACCAUGACUUACAAUGAGCAUAAGAAAAACGUAAAGUCAUUAGCCAAUUUUGUUGUGAUGGAAAAAGGCUAGUUAUACGGGAACACCUGAGUCUUAUCACGGUGAAGUUAAUCACAGUAAAGAAAUCGAGUCAAUGAUGAUGUAUCGAAGCCGACCGUAUCCAACGUCAAAAUCUAAGUGUAAAUCAUUUAUUUCUACCGUCCAUACGUACCGUUGUAAAAAAAUUUAAAGGUCCUACUACUGUUAAAAAUCAUUUACUGUUAAACAAUGGUCUUUUCAACGGUACCCUUUAAAAAUCUCACUUUUUUUAAGAUUCAAAAAUAGUUUUUCAACAGCACCGUUUAACAUGUCUCUUUUAUUAAGAUUAAUCAAUAGUUUUUUCAACGGUACCGUUGAAUUCUACGAUUUUUUGUACCGUUUGAAUAUCUACAAAUUUUUGUACCGUUUGAACGGUAUCGUUAAAUUCUGCAAGUUUUUGUACAGUUUGAAAUGCUACACGUUUUUGUACCGUUUGAAAAAAUUAAUUGUACAAGUUUUUGUACGUUUAAAAGGUACCGUUUCAAUAUCUACAAGUUUUUGUACCGAUUGAACGGUACCGUUGAAUUCUACAAGUUUUUAUACCGUUUCAAAGUCCACAAGAUUUUGUACCGUUUGAACGGUACAGUAAAAAUUUUACGAGUUUUGGUAAACUUUGGACGGUGCUGUUUGAUUUCUACACGCUUUUGCACUGUUAGAAAAAAAUUAAUUCAAACAUGUUUUUGUACCGUUUGAAGAAAUUGAUUCUACCAGUUGCCGUUUGAACGGUACCGUUGAUUUCCACGAUUUUUUGUACCGUUGGAUUAUACGAGUUUUUGUACCGUUUGAAUGGUACCGUUGAUUUUAGUUAUAAAAACAAAUGUCGACAAAAAAAAGUACCGUUGAUUUACGUAAGAAAAGGUACUAAGCAACACAGAAAAACAGUACAGGUAGGUUUCUUACAAACAGUACCGGUAAUGUUUAAUCAAACUCAAAGAGUGUUUAACUGGUACCUUUUUAAUAAAAAGUAAACUAGAACCGUUCAAAUCUUUAAUUGGUACCUUUUAAAUCAUUAACUGGUACUGUUUAAAUAAAAAGUAAACUAGAACCAUUCAAAUUUUUAAUUGGUACCGUUUAAAUGAAACGUCUAGUACGGUUUAAAAUCAAAGUACAUAAACGUAAUGUUGUAAAAAAAUCAUUUACUCUUACCGUAAUAAAUCAUUUACUGGUACGUUCAAAAAUCAUUUACGGCUACCUUAAAAAAAUCAUUUACCGGUACCGUAUAAUUCAAAUGCUAAGUACCGUUAAAAAAUGAGAAGAUCAAAAAGUACCGUUUAAAUGGAAAAAAGGAUUCUGCUACCGUUAAGAAUCGUUUAUUGGUACCGUUCAAAUCAACUUCUUAGUACCGUUCAAACCAAUUGCUUAGUACCGUUAAAAUAAAAGUAUCUAGUACCAUCAAAAAUCAUUAACUGCUACCGUUUAAAUCAAGUAUCUGCUGCGUUUAAAAUAUAAAAGUAAUUGAGUGGUACCGUUUAAAUAAGGUAACUAGUACCGUUUUAAUUAUUGACCGGUACCGUUUAAAACAAGUAUCUAGUACCGUUUAAAAUCAUUUACUGGUACCGUUUAAUUCAAAUACUAAAGUACCUUUUAAAGUAAUGAAUUGGUACCGUUUUUUUAUUUUAACUACGAUUUAAAGCAUUAACUGGUACCGUUAAAACUCAAAUAUGUAGUACCGUUUAAAAGCAAGGUACAUAGUACUGAUUACGGCCUUAAUAAGUGAGUAUUAUUAUAGACGAAAAAUUUUUUUGUACAAUUACGUACCCCAUUACACGUAGUGUCAUUUUAAUUUUGUUGUUGUUGAAAUGUAGUGAAAACCGGUGGUAACGGUUGGAAACAGUAGAAACAAAACGGUAUUACGCACGAAAAAAUACUCGUACCGUAAAAAAAACGAAGAAACACGUUGAACAGUUUAAAUGAAAAAUACGCGGGUACCUUUUAAAUCAAAAUACCAGUACCGUUUAAACAGAAAUACGUAGUGCCGUAAAAAUCACAUGUUUGGUACCGUAAAUUAAAAAUUAAAUACAUCGUGCCGUUAAAAUAUAAAAGCAACGUGGUGCAGUUAAAAAAUAAAAAACAUUUCGUACUUUAAAAACGAUCAACAGUAGAUAGUAACGUAAAAUGAAAAAAGAUAUCCAUCACACACCAUCAAAAUUGUUAAUAUCGUUAACUACCGUUAAAGAUCUAAAAAACCGUAAAAAUAACAUGAAAAAAGAGUUUAAAAGUCGACCAAAAAGAAAUCAAAAAACACAAAAAUGACGUUAUAGUAAACAACUAAAUAUAAAAAUACAUGUAUUAUCCAAGACUGACCAAAAAACAGUGAAAACAAAUUAAAGAAAAACGUUUCCCUUAAUAAACCCGAUCGUCCGGAUUGUCUUCCAGAUCCAUUGCACUCCCACCUUGCAAGCCCUACCUCCUAAAAACCCGGCUUGUUUAAACAAGCUAGCUACCUGGUAGGUCAUGCUUGCUGAGCAAGCCAGACCCUCUGGGGGUCUGGCUUGCAUGCCAUGAAUAGCUACAGGUUACAAAUAUGUAAGCCUACACAAACGCCUGUCACUAUUUUCCGCCGGUGGUUAGAAUCAUGUAGUUUACUACGACUAUCUCUAACAAAAAACGACCGAGUUGUCUACCCUGUGGUAUUUUGACAUAAUGUUAGACUGACAUAGGUUUCAAUGACUUCGAGAUGAUCGACCACCAAAGAGCAGUUGUUGAUCGAGGAGUUAUAAAGUACUUACACGUAACUAACGAACGCCAAAACUACUCCAAUCAAAACAAAAAGACAGGUUCCCUUCGGUUAUGCCACCGCGUAUUCUCGUUCAUAUUAUCAGGAUGAGUCGGCCGAUAUUCGCUAAGGUGCAGUCGUUUAUAGACUCGACCUCCCUUCAUUUCCGUCCUCUCUCUUCCCUCGCUCGCGAACUGUUUCGCGGGCCGACAUCGUGUUCUGCGCUCCCUCAAGGCGGGCGUACGUCGGACUUCGGUCGCGAUCCCGGCGACGAGGGCUAAGGGACAUGGAGUGGUAGGUUAGUUGACGAAAAGGGAAAGAGAAGAACGUACAUGUGUAAUUAAUGAGAUCAGUCGGUCGUCGAGUACAUCUCGGUCGGAAUAAUGUGUUCUGCAGAAAAUGUCGUCGAUAACGACUGUUCCGUGUGCAUAUCUCGGUCGUCGCCUGCUGAGAUAAUCGGUACGAGAUUCUAUCGAUCCAUAGGAAUUUUAGGACAUCUAAUACAAACGACUCAGUUACUUGUGGAAUCGAAAGAAAACGGGAAGAAACAACUUUCUACAUAGACAAAAAUGGUUAGUUAUUUCGAUCGGCCUACCGAAAGAGAGUC
rnacentral:rRNA from 1 species